AAAAAAAAAGGGGAAAACCUCUGCGGCGGGAUCCUCCACCGCCCGUCACAGCCGCGACCACCAUCACUCCCGCUCGCCGCCGCAGGCCACCUGCGGCCACCACCUCGAAGUGAGGUCAGGUCCCCAUCCUCCCUCUCAGUUGUCACAGAGAACAAACAAAGGGCCCCGCCGGAAGAUUUCCCCUUUCUGCCUGUAGCCGAAUUCCGCCGACGAACAGACCGCCUGCAGCGCCACCCCGCUUCCGCCUGCACCGCCGGAAGCCGCCUUCGGCUGCCACCGUGACCGGCCAUCCCUCUCCGGCCGCCGUCCGGCGCCGCAGAGCUUCGCUUCAGCCCACGAAGUCGUGGCCGUGAUCUCGCCGCCGCCGCAGGUCACGGAGCAGCCAUCGUGUUACCUGCCCCGAGCCCGCAGCCGCCGCC
rnacentral:lncRNA from 1 species